rnacentral:rRNA from 1 species
CCUACGGGAGGCAGCAGUGGGGAAUCUUGCACAAUGGAGGAAACUCUGAUGCAGCGAUGCCGCGUGGGUGAAGAAGGCCCUUGGGUUGUAAAGCUCUUUCGUCGGGGAAGAAAAUGACUGUACCCGAAUAAGAAGGUCCGGCUAACUUCGUGCCAGCAGCCGCGGUAAU